rnacentral:rRNA from 1 species
CCUACGGGUGGCAGCAGUGAGGAAUAUUGGUCAAUGGCCGGAAGGCUGAACCAGCCAUGCCGCGUGAAGGUCAGUGCCCUAUGGGCGUUAAACUUCUUUUGUGCGGGAGCAAUAAUGGUCACGUGUGGCCAGACGAGAGUACCGUACGAAUAAGCAUCGGCUAACUCCGUGCCAGCAGCCGCGGUAAUACGGGGGAUGCAAGCGUUAGCCGGAUUUAUUGGGUUUAAAGGGUGCGUAAGCUGUGAGGUAAGUAGGCGGUGAAAUGCCCCCGCUCAACGGGGUGAAGUGCCAUUGAUACUGCCUGGCUGGAAUGCGGAUGCCGUGGGAGGAAUGUGUGGUGUAGCGGUGAAAUGCAUAGAUAUCACACAGAACACCGAUUGCGAAGGCAUCUCACGAAUCCGCGAUUGACGCUGAUGCACGAAAGCGUGGGUAUCAAACAGGAUUAGAUACCCGGGUAGUC